GUCUACGGCCAUGCUACCCUGAACAAACCCAAUCCUGUCUGGUCUUGAAAGAUAAGCAGGGUCGAGCCUGGUUAGUACUUGAAUGGGAGACCACCUAGGAAGACCAGGUGUUAUAGGCA
rnacentral:rRNA from 1 species